AAGAAGUCUCUAAGAUGAUUUUCAAGAUCUAGCUCAAUAAAUUUGACGUGCAUGAGACAUCCAUAUAAAUCUAUAAGCCUUUCUUCUACAUUCAUUAUUCAGAAGAACAUGAUGGCCCCUUGGUGGAAGAAAGAAAAGAGACUCUACUUAAGUCUAACCAUUCUUUGUCUAGUGGUGUUGUUUGUUUCUUGCAGGAAGUAGAGUCGACCAAACCACUAUAUGAGAAGGUCCUAAUUCGAGGACGAAUCAUUUUGAAGAAAGGGGGAUGAUGCAUGCAAAGGGAGGCAACUAACACUAAGAUCCGAUGACAAAGAUGAUUAUAAGCAAAUAGUCAAAAGAGUCUUCCCAAUCAUAGACUUUCGAGUAUUUCAUAUGAGGGAGUCGUCUACUCUUGUUGGGAGAGUUAUAACUGGGCACUUAUCUCUUUUAAGGCACAUUAAUAAUAUGUAUAAU
rnacentral:lncRNA from 1 species